CCGUGUGUUGCUCUGUUGGGAAAACUAGAAGGAUCGAGAGAGAAGGAGAGAGAACUCGGUGUUCUCUGACCCGACGGGACCCGGAAACCCGCAAAGAGGAUCCGACCGGCGCUGAUCAGUCCGGCCACAUCACAGCGGAGGACCACCGAAAUUCUCUUCGUCUCAACUGUGCCGACGUCCCUGUGGCCUCUGAUCGUCCAUGCAUCGAUCGUAGAUGAGCUUUGUGUCUCGUUCGGUGAGUUCUGCAAUCACCGGAGACUCCGGCCACCGUAUGAGCUGCAAGUGCUGUUUGGGUGUCUUCAACUCUUUUACGAGGGUCAUUGUGGUCCUAGGACUCGGAAGCAUGGCUGGUUGAGCUGAAAUCGUUGGCCUGGCUGAGUUGAUAGUUUCGGAAUUGGCCAGGUUUGGAAGUAGUUGAGUGGGAACUCUCGCUGACCUGCGUUCUUCGUUGGAAAACAAACCUGCAGUUCGGGGUUUUGUUUUGAUCUAGUUGAUCACAAGGUGAGUUGGAUUCUAUCAAAGGUGCUGGAAGUUUACCUGUGUGGUUAGCUUUUGGAAACUGGGUUGCUUUGUUGCAUGCCUACUGUGAUGUUGUGUUUGAGAAGAGUAAAUUGGAUUGAUAGUCACAAGAAGUCGAAGCUAUGUUGUAAGCUUGCUGUUUUGUUCAUGUUUGCUAAAUGAUUUUGGUUAUGGAUGUUGUAGUAUGUUUCUCAUUCUGGUGAAAUUGGCAAAGCAUAAAUAUGCAGUUAUACGUUGAAUUGGUUA